AUCUCACCCCCUGGAUCCAGCAUUGGGUCACCCAACCGAGUCAUCUGCGCUAAAGUGGAUAAUGAGAUCCUUAAUUACAAAGACCUGGCGGCUCUCCCCAAGGUUAAGUCUAUCUACGAGGUACAACGCCCCGACCUCAUUUCCUAUGAGCCUCAUUCCAGAUACACGUCUGACGAGAUGCUGGAGAGAUGUGGCUAUGGAGAGUCGCUGGGAACAUUAUCUCCCUACUCCCAGGACAUCUACGAGAACCUGGACCUCCGGCAGAGACGGGCCUCCAGCCCAGGGUACAUAGACUCCCCCACCUACAGCCGGCAGGGCAUGUCCCCCACCUUCUCCCGCUCACCUCACCACUACUACCGCUCUGGGCCCGAGAGUGGCCGGAGCUCUCCAUACCAUAGCCAGUUAGAUGUGAGGUCCUCCACUCCAACCUCUUACCAGGCUCCCAAGCACUUUCACAUCCCAGCUGGAGACAGUAACAUCUACCGGAAACCCCCGAUCUACAAACGGCAUGGUAUGGUCAGAGGCAGAUAGGGCUUGGCCACACAAGGAGAGGGGGG
rnacentral:sRNA from 1 species